rnacentral:lncRNA from 1 species
AAUAAGUAAAAAAAAAAGAUCCACCCAUCUAUUAUUAUCAGUGAGGGUUAUAUAAUGAUAAUAUCACUUUUAGGAAAUGUUACACAAUCAUUUUUUGUUUAAUAAAAUUAACACAUUUUAUGACUUUUUGGUCUAUUGUUUGUGUUCUCAAAGAAUAGCCUUGAAAGUUACUUAGUAAUAGCUACAGUAUAAUAUUGUGGCCUUUAGUUUCCAUUUCAUAGACAAUCUUAAAACACUAUGUGCCUUGUGUUACUUCAAUUGUGCUUUCCAUUUUCUGAGACAGGGGCUGAAAAAUAUUUAAUUAAGAAGACACAAAUCCUGAGCAAACACACACCAUGCUGUGUCCUUUAUCAAUGUUGAUCUUUUCCUGGGGCUGGGGGUCUAGUUUUAUUUUGGGGCAGUGUUAAGGAUGUCUGGAGAUCACUGGCAAGCAAUAUGUAUUCUCAGGGCCAAACUAAUCUAAUCCAAUGUGAAUCUUGAAACAAAAGGAACACUGUUUCAAAAUGAUAACUGGAAUUUCUAAGUACUUUUAUGUUUAGAUUGUCACCUACUUCAGUUGCUGGAGAAGUUUCAAAAGGUACAUUCUGUGGUUAUAUUAAGCACAGGCUUCAGAAGAACUGGCCAGAAAACAGGAGUCAAAUCGUCAGUGACAGGGUCUCCAUCUACCCCUAAAAGAGUAUCUUCAGCCAGCAUGGUGGCCCAAGCCUGUGAUCUCAUCACUUCAGGAGCCUGAGGCUAUGGGGAUGGGUAGGAGCUUGUGUGGAUAGGGAAUGGGGGGAGAAGAGAGAAGGAAAGAGGAAGUUGUGUACCACUCUUUUGUAAGUUUCAGGGGGAAGAAGAAAUGGGUUCCCGAAUUCAACCAUAUGUCUUCUUGAAGGAAACUAAAGAUAUAAUAAGCAGAUCUUGCUACACAUUGCAGCACUUACUGUUUUCUGUUUGAGUGGACUGAUGCCCUAUCCAUUGCCUUCCCAGGAAAAGUCUUUUUUCCCCCCUCUGAUCUGGCUGUUCAUGAGUGCUGUCCUUUGCCUCUCUUAGUUAGGGCUGGGUGAAACCCGUCAGGCUCACAUCCAUGGCUUUGAUUGUCUCUCUUUUUACUUCCUGUAUUGGAUGUUUCUCACGUUUUCAAUUGUAUUUAUGCUUAAUUUUCCAAACAUCUCUGUUCUGAACAGAGAAAAAUAUCUUAUUUGGAUAUAUACCCUAAAUAGUGAUAAUAAUAAGUUAUUAUUACAGUAACGCGCAUUUACCGAGCACUUACUGUGUGGCACGUGCACCAUGUUCCCUCCCACUUUGUUUCAUUGCAGCAGCUUUUUUUUCCCCCAGGAUGCUCUUCAUCCUGCUGCCCUUUCUUAACCCUUACUUAUACCUUAGGCCUCUGCUGACUGGGAAUUUCUCAAGAAAUUCUUGCAAAGUCCCUCACGGCAUCAUGAACUGCUCCUUCCUUGCUUACAUCACAAUUGUAGCUUGGCUUUUAUUUAUGGGUAGGCUUCAUACACCACUGCACUCGGGAUCUGCCUUCCACUCAUCUUCCCACUGAUCCUCCCCAUCCCUGCCCACCUUCUUUUUCCAUUAGCCCAAGACAACUGACAACAUGAUAUACGUGGCAGGCGAGACCACCAGGUGAGGUAAGAAGGUAUUCCCAAGACAACUCCCACAAAAUUUGGGGGAUGUUAUGAGUGGUGGGAACCCAUGGAAAGUGGUAGAAGAAUCACUGUCCAUGUGGUGGAUUUAAAGCAUUUCAAGGCUCCCCAGAGCACAGAGCUUGCAUGUUGCUCAAGCAUGGUCCUUAAUUAGGGGCUGCAAGAAAGAUGCAAACCUGGACAUUAAGCCAUUCCAUAAUGAUCAGGGUGACCCAAGGAUGACUGAAGGGCCUGCAUGAAUAUUUUUCUUUAUAUACAAUCUCUGAGCCCUCACAGAUCAGUGGUGUGAGGGGAGGGUGGG